GAUGGGUUAGGGUGGGUUAGAUGGGUUAGUUAGGUUAGGAUGGGUGAGAUGGGUUAGUUAGGUUAGGAUGGGUGAGAUGGGUUAGUUAGGUUAGGAUGGGUGAGAUGGGUUAGUUAGGUUAGGAUGGGUGAGAUGGGUUAGUUAGGUUAGGGUGGGUGAGAUGGGUUAGAUAGGUUAGGGUGGGUGAGAUGG